AUGAACGCUAGCUACAGGCUUAACACAUGCAAGUCGAGGGGCAGCAUUGGGAUAGCUUGCUAUUCCAGAUGGCGACCGGCGCACGGGUGAGUAACGCGUAUCCAACCUUCCCUAUAGUAGAGAAUAGCCCGGCGAAAGUCGGAUUAAUGCUCUAUGUUGUGUUUUUGAGGACAUCUGACGAACACCAAAGGUUCACCGCUAUAGGAUGGGGAUGCGUCUGAUUAGCUUGUUGGCGGGGUAACGGCCCACCAAGGCGACGAUCAGUAGGGGUUCUGAGAGGAAGGUCCCCCACAUUGGUACUGAGACACGGACCAAACUCCUACGGGAGGCAGCAGUGAGGAAUAUUGGUCAAUGGGCGAGAGCCUGAACCAGCCAAGUAGCGUGCAAGGAUGACUGCCCUAUGGGUUGUAAACUGCUUUUAUCAGGGAAUAAAGUGCGGCACGUGUGCCGUUUUGUAUGUACCUGAUGAAUAAGGACCGGCUAAUUCCGUGCCAGCCGCCGC
rnacentral:rRNA from 1 species